GAAAGAAAAAGAAGUCCCAAAUUAGUUGGCUAAAUGAGGAACAAGAAUCAAAAUCCUCGUGAAUUUAAAGUUGAGCUGUUUUGUGGCACGUUAUACACUAUUUAUAUGACACAUAUUUGAUUGUCAAGCAUCCAUCAAUCUAGCUAAGGUCUGGCAUCAAAUUUACCUUUUGAAGCAGAAAUUUUAAGGCAUAUCAACACGUAUCCCUGGGAACCUUCUGUUUGUUUCUCCAGCUAAUUACGUCGAUCCUUG
rnacentral:lncRNA from 1 species